rnacentral:rRNA from 1 species
UACGAAGGGGGCUAGCGUUGCUCGGAAUCAUUGGGCGUAAAGGGUGCGUAGGCGGGUCUUUAAGUCAGGGGUGAAAUCCUGGGGCUCAACUCCAGAACUGCCUUUGAUACUGAGGAUCUUGAGUUCGGGAGAGGUGAGUGGAACUGCGAGUGUAGAGGUGAAAUUCGUAGAUAUUCGCAAGAACACCAGUGGCGAAGGCGGCUCACUGGCCCGAUACUGACGCUGAGGCACGAAAGCGUGGGGAGCAAACAGG